rnacentral:lncRNA from 1 species
CUCAAUAAUCUGCAGCGGAAUAUUUGCAUUAAGAGCAACAACAUUAACUGUUUAAUUCUCCAUGAUAAUCCUUGGCAUAAAAGCCUCAACAACAUAAAUUCAACCACUAAAAAGGGCUACAACAUCAAGUUUCAAAAUAUGAUACAUAAGGAAUGAAACAUAAAUAAGGUAAACCCAUCCCAAAUGUAUCAGAGCCCUAGACACUUGAGCCACCACCAACUACUCAGGAUCACCUGCAAGUUACCCAUAGGAAGGGCAACAUUUUCAAGCAGAAGGGGUGAGAUUCACAACAAUAAGAUAUAGAUAUUAAAAUUCGUCAAUUGAAUCUAACACCCUAAAUAUAAUCAGUUCAUCAUCUUAUAUGCAUAUGUAUAUAUACUUCAUAAAACAACAUCAUCAUCAUCAAAUCAAUCAUCAUCAUAUAGGUAUAAAUAUAUACUUCAUCAAACAACAUCAUCAUCGUCAAUAUGGCAACUACAACCAACAACACCGACUCAUGCAAAUGACAUGACAACACCGCUAAGACAACACCCUAGACUCCUCAAUAAAUGCAAAUAUGCAUGUGGUACCAUAAUCAGGGCCGUGACCCACACCGCUGUCGAAUGGUUAAAGCAUUCUCAUCAGGACCUAAGUCCUCACCGCUCAACACCGCUUUUGAACAACUAGUGUUCCACCACUUUGAACGACAAGGCGUUCCAGAGCCGAAGCUCUCCCACUUUGAUGUUAUGCAACUACCCAACCUGUGUAUAUCUACAUACAACUCAACAAAUGCAUAUAUAUAUGUAUAUGACUCAACUCUCCAUAACUCCACACUUGUAUGAUUUAAUGAAUGUAAACAUACAACACAGUCAUCAAUAGUUCAUCAUUAAUCAAUCCAACAAUCCAGAAAAAUGCACAAUUUAUCUUAAUCAUGCUCAUACAUCAGGCUCCAUUCAAAACGUUCAAACAGAAUUCAACAACUCAAAGAUAUUAGUAAUCAACAACAUCAAUUAUAUUAGCUUAGAUACAUUGAGAGGCUAUACCCUUAUAGACAACUUCCAUCCCUACCCCAAGGAUCACUCAUGAACUCAUUAGACCCUUAUACUACGUUAUAUCUUUCCUAAAAACAUCUCUAUAUGUUUAGGAUAAAGUCCCUACACUUAGGAAGAAGUUUGGAAGCAUUUGGAGUGAAGAAAAUUGCAUUUUUAGGGUUUAUUGGAUGACAGCAUCGUGGCACGUUGGUAUCCCAUCGUGGCACGAUUUUUCCAGUGUCAAACGAACUAAAUUUCUGAUCAAAAUCGUGGCACGUUGGUCCCGAAUCGUGGCACGAUCCUGGUUUGACAGACAGCAUCAGAUUUUCGACCUUCACGUUUUCGCGCGUAAAAACCCAACCGUUAACCCGUUUUCGAUGCCGUUUUCGCCUACACGCUCAUGAGACAUAGCUCUAUCAUAAUCUACCGAAAAACUAAAGUUUCAACUACCAAAAAUCGAUUUCCCCAAAACCCACAUGAUCUCUUAUUUGUAGAAUGUUGGACACUAACUUUUCAAACAUAAAAUCCCAAUUUUCAUUAACCCAACCCCAAAACUGAUUGGAACAUUAGACUAUGAACAACCUAUAAUCAGAUCACCUUCUGUACACAAUUACUAUGGAUUUUCUAUUUAAUUAACAACUAAUUACGAUUCUCCAACCCUAAUUCCCAAUUACCUAACCUAAGAACAACAACAUGUUAAAUCACAAAUUCAGAAUUCAAUAACUAUAUUACUGAAGCAAAUCUCACCCUUACCUUAGUUCAGAAAAUCGCACGAUACACGGUUGAUCUUGGUUCUACUUGUUCUUCUCUCCCCUUAUUCUUGGUUUUCUCUCCCAAAACUUGUUUCACGUAAAAACUGCUUCUGCCUUUUCUUUUCCUAA